rnacentral:rRNA from 1 species
CUUAAAACCCAAAGGACUUGACGGUACCCCAAAUCCACCUAGAGGAGCCUGUCCUAUAAUCGAUAAUCCCCGUUAAACCUCACCUCUUCUUGUUUAUCAACCUGUAUACCUCCGUCGCCAGCUUACCGCAUGAGCGUUUUUAAGUGAGCCUAAUGCCUACACGCCAAUACGUCAGGUCAAGGUGCAGUUUAUGAAGUGGAAAGAGAUGGGCUACACUUUCUAUUUUAGAAGAAACGAAAGACUACCUAUGAAAUCUAGUCAGAAGGAGGAUUUAGUAGUAAAAAGAAAGCAGAGUGUUCUUUUUAAUCUGGCACUGGGGUGUGU